CUUUCGAACACCUGAAACAAAUCAGAAGUGUUUUUUACACAAAACUUACUGUUUUAUUUUUAUUUCUUUUUUGUUUAUUGAAAAAUAACGCCGUGAUUUGCCGAUCUUUGUGUCACCAUGUAUGGAAAUAUGCCUUUCUAUAACACGCCGUGUAAUUCCGGCAAUGGGCCCUGCAAUAACAACUGUCCCAAUGGCAACUGUCAGCGUAAGGACAUUGGUAGCAGACCGUCUUGUUGUCCUGGCGGGUUUUGCUGCCCUUCUGGACGCUGUACGCGCGAUCAAUCCGGAAGGCAGCCAUCUUGGCAGACAAACAAUGGACGUUGGCAAUAAAGAGCCGAACGUAUCCAUUUCCGGCAAAUCGGUGCGUGAUUUCAAUUACUUAGAACGGUCAAAAUGGUGUCCAAUCUCUCCCCCCACCGAACGGCAAUGACAUCUCAUAUUUACACAAAAAGUUCCUUUGAAAAAUGCUUGUAAACACUAUGCACAAAAUAUAUAGUUAAUAUAUUCAUCUAAAAUUUAAGUU